AUUCCAUGAAUUCAACACGAAAGACCCAAGAGAUGCUCUUAGGAGAGUCCAAGUAGUCCCAGAACUUUGUGGAUGGGUAAAUACUCAAACCGCAGAGCAACGUUUUGCUGCAAUGCGCAAAAACAAUUAUUUCCUGAACAUGCUCACGCCAUCAGGACACACAUUUUUGAUGCGCAACAUCAUUCACCAUUAUAAUACAGCACAGAAUAAGAACAUGGAGGACAGCCUAAGAAAAGCUGUAUCACCAAGUGAUCAGUUAACCUUCAAUGGUUACGGUCAGAUAGUACUUGACCCCAGCCAAGGUUCAGUGAUGGACAUGACAGCCCUACGAAAUGUGCAGCCAAACAGGGCAUGCAUCCACAAAGCAGUGACCAAAUGAAGAUGAUAAAAAAUGCUUUAAAUGAAAAGGAAUCACAACAACAAUUUUUGGCUCAAGUAGGAGCAACAAUUCUGGACAGAUCAGAUUUUAUUACCUUGGGACAUCCAAAUGAUGUUGAAGGGACUGUGAG